rnacentral:tRNA from 1 species
GGUCUCGUAGCUCAGCGGGAGAGCGUCCGCCUCACACGCGGAAGGUCGCUGGUUCGAUCCCAGCCGGGACCACCA